rnacentral:rRNA from 1 species
UACGUAGGGGGCGAGCGUUAUCCGGAAUUAUUGGGUGUAAAGGGUGCGUAGACGGGAAGAUAAGUUAGAAGUGAAAUCCCCUGGCUCAACUAGGGAAUUGCUACUAAGACUGUUUUUCUUGAGUACUGGAGAGGAAAGUGGAAUUCCUAGUGUAGCGGUGAAAUGCGUAGAUAUUAGGAGGAACACCAGUGGCGAAAGCGACUUUCUGGACAGAAACUGACGUUGAGGCACGAAAGUGUGGGGAGCAAAC